AGACUUUGGUGCCGGGAUGAUAAUCCUGUUCUUGGACCGGGAGCAACAGAAAUUCAGCGCAGUAAUUCAGGUCUGAGAGAGUGCUAAUGAGGAGUUGGUUACAAGGCAAUUAUUACUGCCAAGAGUGCUUAAUGCUUAAAGGAGAUACAGUUGCUUCUUUCAAAAUAGCUCCAACCCAGCCCUUAGCAAAGUGAAGGAGAAUCCCGGGCAUUGUGAUUAUACAUUCCAUUCCUGUUUGUGUACGGUCUAAAGCAGCCUGGGAUUUGUACUGAUGCAGACUUUAAUCACGCGGGGCUAUUUUUUUUUUUCCUUUGAAAGGGCGUUUAUGUGCAUAGGGAUGCAGAUAAAUCUUGAAUACACCGAGAUUCGAGGUCUUGACUUCUUGCUGGCUCCGGAGUCUCCGUGCCCAUGAGAACCGAGGCUGCAGCGGGAAGCAGUUCGUGCUGCUGGAUGGGUUCUGACACGCCGCUCUGAGCCGCAGGUUUCGCUCCCCAGCUCCCCAAGGAGCACAAAGCACGCUGCUCCCUUUUAGGGGUUUGAUGUUUUACGCAGCUUGGCUGAAGGUUUUGCCAGGUUGAGCCAUACGCAGGAAUUUCUGUGGUGUGAAGGAUUUCCCUGUGGGUGCAGAGCAGGCAUGAAGGGUCCUCUGGAGCUGAUUUGGCACAAUUUCCAUUCCAGGUUAAUUAGCCACCAUCAGGGGAGAGUUUAUGCAGGAAAAAGGAUUUCCCUCUGUUGGGCUGCUCCCCAGCUAAGGAGGCCUGGUCUGUGGCCAGAAGUACUUUGCCUUUAAUCCCCGAUUUCUCAAAGUCAGAGGAAGAUUCCCACUGAUGCCAAGAACAGGACUCCAUGUUGAGAGGUGAGCUCUGGUGAAUUUUGCUGAUUGCCUGCUCACAUUCCCCUCAGCUGGAUUUUUGGCUGGGUUUGCCCUGGUCUCUCUG
rnacentral:lncRNA from 1 species